CAGGGAAGGACCUGCGAGGGACCUGCUUCCGGGAUCGCCAAGCAGAGCGGAGGGUCCCAGUGGCGACGCGCUGCCUCCCUCUGGGCUCGGGGCCGCUGCUGCCAGCCCCGGGUCCCGGCUCCCCCGGCCCCAGGGCAGCGGGGCUCCUUCUCCCCCAGCCCCGGCCCGGCCGAGUCCGGGCUGAGCUGGCAGCAAGAAAGAAGCAGAGGCGAAGGGGCGGUGGCAGCAGCCGGGGCCGCGGGGCAUUAGCUGGAGAAACCGGGCCUCUCCCGGGUACCCGCCCCCGGCGCCGAGGACCUUACCGGGUAGGAGCUGGGCUGCGGCUUCCCGGAAACUUUGGGCGCCGCCCCCGGAGCGCGGCUCGCCGCUGAGGCGGCGGGGCGGCGCGGGACACUUACCGCUCCGCUCCUCACGGCGCCGGCAUCCCCGCGGGGACGGAGAGCGCAGCCCCGGCCGAAGCCGCCCGUGAGGGGCCGGGCCGCGGAUUAGUGGGCGAUCAUCGCCGCCUCCCCUUCCUCCUCCUCGCCCGCGGCGCAGGGCUGGCAGCGGCUCCUGGCGCUGGGGCAGAGCCGGCACCGCGCGGGCUCCGCCGGCUCCGGGGAACUGCACCGCCCUCGCCGGCGACGGCCGCCCGCCCGCCCGAGGGGUGGGCUCAGCGCGCGGGGACCCCCGCCCCGCCGCCUUCACCGUCAUCCUCGCUUGCAUUCCCGCGCCAAAGCCCGGGGCAAAGUGGACAUCGUGGAGCGGGCCCUUGACAGCGCCAAGCCUCGCCAGCUCCAAAGGGGACGUUGCCAAGAAACUGGCAGGUCAGGGGAGCCAGGCCUGGCCCCUGAGGGUCCUGACCAGAGCUGGGAGAAGCCGUGUGUUGCCAACGAGAAGGCGGAUGGAGGCCCCAAUCUCACCCUCAAGACUCCAUUUGAGUGCUUAAACCGCCUGACUGCAUUGGGGCCUUCACUAGUUCCCCUUUCCAAUGGGCCUGGGGACCAGCUGGCUGUUUGUCACAAGUUCAAACAGCCACCCAACAAGUGUGUUUUUUUGUGGACAAGCAGCAGGCUCCGAAUUUCUGGUGAACCCAGAGGAGUCCUUCAAGCGUUUGCCAUCUUGUUGGUCACCCAGGGCACAUGCCAUUGCUGCUGUUCUCCACUGCCCUCUGGGUUGGAGCUUCUAACCUUGAUAAGCUACAUAAGCUGCUACUACACAGAAAGGGGAUUUGGGGGUCAACAUGGGCAGGUGGAUAAGAACAUAACAGCUCCAUGUGUCAGAAAGGCAAACAAAAUGUUAGGGAUAAUUAAUGAGGGAAUUGUAAACUAA
rnacentral:lncRNA from 1 species